rnacentral:rRNA from 1 species
AUGCAGUACCAACAAGGAGUCCAGCAAAGGCAUGUUUUUCCCACUACACCAGCUACUGGACAACACCUACAACAGCAGGGUUAUGGCAAUCCAAGACAAGCUCCAAUAUUUGACUAUGGCAGAGGACGGGACAGAGAUGCACAAUUCUAUAGAGCCAUUGCCCGAGCCCCCAAGUUUGAAUUCCCCAAAUUUGAUGGGACCAACCCAAUGGAAUGGAUCAGGACUACCAAAAAGUUCUUCUCCAUGGUCCAUGUGCCUGACGAGGCUAAAUGUGACUAUGCCCAAAUGUAUCUAACAGGGAAAGCUGAUACUUGGCUUAGAAACUCAGGGGUACUUGAGGAAAAUUUGGACUGGGAUAAUUUCUGCUCUGCUCUGUUGAAGAGAUUUUCAGGGGACAGUUCAUAUGAGGUCUUGGAAAACUUUCACUCACUCAAACAAGGUCAAAAAAAGAUGGUCUCUUACAAACGAGAAAAUCCUGGAGUGGCUGACGGCUACUAUGUGAAGUGCUUUAUUAAUGGACUCCAACCUGAGAUCAGGCACUUCCUCAAACCAUUUAAGCCAACUUCACUAUAUGCAGCUGUGGAGAUAGCCAGGGAAAUGGAGCUAGGAACACAAGCUCAACAAUCACAGCGGAAAACCUACACACCUAGCAGCUAUCCCAAGAACUAUACCUCAACUCAAACUCCUACCAAACCAAAGUGGAAUGAAAGUAACACUACAAGGAAGGAAGUAGACCCCCAAAACACUAUCUAG